GGUGCGAUGGCCGUCGUCAGUUCGUACUGUGAAGCAUCCUGUUAAGUCAGGCAACGAGCGAGACCCACGCCCACAGUUGCCAGCGUACUCUCUGGAGUGACGGGUACACUGUGGGGACCGCCGCUGCUAAAGCGGAGGAAGGAAUGGGCAACGGUAGGUCAGUAUGCCCCGAAUAUCCCGGGCUACACGCGAGCUACAAUGGUUGGUACAAUGGGUAUCUACCCCGAAAGGGGACGGGAAUCUCCUAAAACCAAUCUUAGUUCGGAUUGAGGGCUGCAACUCGCCCUCAUGAAGCUGGAAUCCGUAGUAAUCGCGUUUCAACAGAACGCGGUGAAUACGUCCCUGCUCCUU
rnacentral:rRNA from 1 species